UGGGGGAUAUUGGUCAAUGGGCGCAAGCCUGAACCAGCGACGCCGCGUGGGUGAAGAAGGUCUUCGGGUCGUAAAGCCCUUUUCCCACUGAAGAGGAAGGACGGUAGGUGGGGAAGAAGUCUCGGCUAACUACGUGCCAGCAGCCGCGGUAAAACGUAGGAGACAAGCGUUAUCCGGAGUUACUUGGCGUAAAGGGCGUGCAGGUGGCGUCUUAAGUCUGUUGUGAAAGCGCCUGGCUUAACCGGGCGAGGCCAAUGGAGACUGAGAGUCUGGAGGACGGCGGAGGGGUGUGGAAUUCCGGGUGUAGUGGUGAAAUGCGUAGAGAUCCGGAGGAACACCAGAGGCGAAGGCGGCACUCUAAGCCGUACCUGACACUGAGACGCGACAGCACGGGGAGCAAACG
rnacentral:rRNA from 1 species